CCUACGGGAGGCAGCAGUGAGGAAUAUUGGUCAAUGGACGAGAGUCUGAACCAGCCAAGUAGCGUGAAGGAUGACUGCCCUAUGGGUUGUAAACUUCUUUUAUAAGGGAAUAAAAUGUUCCACGUGUGGGAUUUUGUAUGUACCAUAUGAAUAAGGAUCGGCUAACUCCGUGCCAGCAGCCGCGGUAAUACGGAGGAUCCGAGCGUUAUCCGGAUUUAUUGGGUUUAAAGGGAGCGUAGGUGGAUUGUUAAGUCAGUUGUGAAAGUUUGCGGCUCAACCGUAAAAUUGCAGUUGAAACUGGCAGUCUUGAGUACAGUAGAGGUGGGCGGAAUUCGUGGUGUAGCGGUGAAAUGCUUAGAUAUCACGAAGAACUCCGAUUGCGAAGGCAGUUCACUGGACUGCAACUGACACUGAGGCUCGAAAGUGUGGGUAUCAAACAGGAUUAGAUACCCGUGUAGUC
rnacentral:rRNA from 1 species